CCGCGGGGUCAGUGUUGCUACCGCCGCUGCCAGGCGCUUCGGAGCUGUCCGCUUCAGCACCACGGCGGCGGCGGUAGUGGUGGUGCGGACCAGCCCGGAGCCCGCCGACGCACUCAUGCACUUUAGAACCUCGGGCCGCAGCUCCACCCCGCACACCGGAACCGACACAGAGACCCACGGCCCCCAGCCCGCCCCCUCCCGCACGGCUCCCCUGCCCCGCCCCUCCUCCGAUCAAUCUGGUCUGCAGCCCGGGCAGCUGCGGCGUCGGACUGCGCGGCCAGGGAGGUUUGGCUGCAUAUUUGCAUGAGCUUCCUACCCACCUCAGCCUAGCCCUCCGGGCCGUUCCUCAACUGUACCCCUGUCUGGCGUGACCCCAGCCUCUUUCUAAGGGACUUCCUCAGCACAUUUGUAUUUUUAUAUCCGAUUCUUUGUUUACUGGCUCCGCUCAUGGUUUGUGCCCUUCCCCCACAGCCUCCGCCAUGCUCUUCUGCGCCUGGCAGAUAGGACAGGUGUUGAGACUGGGAUGGGACAAGCCCCCAACAUGGUAACUAACCACAUGGCCAGUCUGCCCAGUUCUGACCCUAGGAGGCUCAUUGGGAGACUCCUCCCUCCCAAGGUAUCAUCUUUUAAGGGCCCAAGUCUGAUUUUACCUUGGACCCCUUCAUGCUACCCCUGGAAACCCAAAUGGGGACUGCUCAGUACCUUUGGAUGACAUCUGUGGACCGGAAGAUGUUCUCAACCCAGGGUUGUCCUUUGUAAAAAUGUUUCUUCAUCCUCAAUGUAACAGGAGUGUGUGAAUAAACACAGACCUCCGUGUGUGA
rnacentral:lncRNA from 1 species